AGAGUUUGAUCCUGGCUCAGGACGAACGCUGGCGGCGUGCUUAACACAUGCAAGUGGAGCGACGAACCGGGGCUUGCCCCGGGGCAGAGCCGCGAACGGGUGAGUAACACGUGGGUAACCCACCCCGAUGAUUGGGACAACCCGGGGAAACUCGGGCUAAUACCAAAUGUGCUCGUAGACCAUGAGGUCAACGAGUAAAGAUAGCUUCGGCCUUCGCAUCGGGACGGGCCCGCGGCCCAUUAGCUUGUUGGUGAGGUAACGGCUCACCAAGGCGACGAUGGGUAGCUGGUCUGAGAGGACGAUCAGCCACACUGGGACUGAGACACGGCCCAGACUCCUACGGGAGGCGGCAGUGGGGAAUCUUGCGCAAUGCGCGAAAGCGUGACGCAGCAACGCCGCGUGGAGGAAGACGGUCUUCGGAUUGUAAACUCCUUUCAGUUGGGACGAAGCUCAACAGGUUAAUAGCCUGGUGGAGUGACGGUACCUUCAGAAGAAGCCCCGGCUAACUACGUGCCAGCAGCCGCGGUA
rnacentral:rRNA from 1 species